CUGCACGGGGCCGAAGGAAUCCUCCCGGGGAGAUACGCCUGGCCUCGGGCCCUCCCUGGGACGCGGUGGGCUGGACGCCUGGAAGAGGAAAGGAGAGGGCCCAGCGCUCCUCAGACCCUGCGGGGGCCGCUGCCCAAGGUGGGGUUGAUGGCGACUGACGCGCUUCGUAAAGCGAAAAACAGGAGCUUCGUGAAUGGUGGUUACUGCCCCGAACCUCUAACGCGGCCGGGAAGAGGUCCCCGCGGCUGGACUGCCCCUCGGGGCCCCGACCGGGGUGCACGCCGGGAAGUGUAGUCCGUUCUCCGACUCGCGCUUGUGGGAGGCAGCCCCCAAACCGCGGGCACGGGCUCCAGCAGGCUGGGGGGUCGGGCUGACGGUUCUGUGGAUUUGAGCAAAAUCAUCAUACCUCAGCCCCUGAGAGAAUGAUUUCUGUUGACAUGGCAAUGGAGUGGCCUGGGGAAGUUCCCUCAGCACCACCUGUCUUUUGGGUGGCUUCCAGGCCUUAAGUAUUAACCCCAUGAACUCCAAGUGGGCAGAACUCAAAUUCAAAUCCCCGAAGUAUAUCAAUUCUCCAUGUAUCCUGAGCUGGCUGUUUCAUUUGCUGAUAAAUGUCAUGGUUCCCAUGAGAAUGAUUGGACAGAAGAACAGCAGAAAUAUCAGUGUGAAGUUAAAUUUUGGAUAUUGCUCCUGUUUGUUUAUGAACACAAUUACAGAAUCAAUAUGCUCAGUUAUUUA